rnacentral:rRNA from 2 species
UGGCCGGUACAAAGGGCUGCGAUGCCGCAAGGUUAAGCGAAUCCUUUUAAAGCCGGUCUCAGUUCGGAUUGGGGUCUGCAACUCGACCCCAUGAAGUCGGAGUCGCUAGUAAUCGCAGAUCAGCAACGCUGCGGUGAAUACGUUCCCGGGCCUUGUACACACCGCCCGUCGCGUCAUGAAAGUCGGUAACACCCGAAGCCAGUGGCCUAACCCUUGGGAGGGAGCUGUCGAAGGUGGGAUCGGCGAUUGGGACGAAGUCGUAACAAGGUAGCCGUACCGGAAGGUGCG